GCUUACGGCCAUACCACUCUGAACACGCCCGAUCUCGUCCGAUCUCGGAAGCUAAGCAGGGUCGGGCCUGUUAUACUUGGAUGGGUAGACCGCCCUGGAAUACCAGGUGCUGUAAGCU
rnacentral:rRNA from 1 species